rnacentral:tRNA from 1 species
GCUACCGUGGUGUAGUGGUUAACAUUUUAGACUUGCACUUUCUUGGGACCCGGGUUCGAUACCUUUCGUUGGAA